AAAUUUGUUUUUCAUGUAUCAUCCUCAAUCACUAAUCCAGUUUUUAUGAAUUGUUAUUUAGUUGGAAUUUCAGAGUAAAAUCUCUAAAACUGCCUAGAACUAAAUGUCACUUGGAGAUGAUGUUGAUAUUCAGGUAUUGUACGUUAGAUUAAUUUCUCGGUUUGAUGAUUACAAAGAACACUUGAGACAAAAUUUACUACUGGGCUAGUUAGACUAGAGAAUCUUAUGGAAGAGCAUUAUUUUAAAUCAUAUUAGAUGUGAAGAGGUGCUAAGUCUGGAAUUAAAUGACAGUAAAUAUUCCAGAUGUGGGAAAGUAGAGAAGGCAGAGAGAAAUAAAACAAUAUUUCAUAUUGUAUAUGUGUCAAUUAAAUGAUUAACUUGAUAUUCUGAACUUUAACAUAGAUUUACCUGAGAUAAAGCUGACCUACUGGUAAUAAUGUUAUAUUGUAAAAAUCAUUUUUUUCUGUGAAAGUGUUUUAAAUAUUUGACUUGCCAAGUGUAAUUUCUUUUUCUUUUCCUUUUUUUCAGGUUUAAAAAUAACAUAAGUGACUUAAAUAAUAAAUAUUGUGGAUUUAUAUAUAAUUCCUAUGUUUAUUAUGCUUCCUGCUCUUUUAUGAAAAACUUUAUGUGUGAGAAGAUGGCCAAUUCAGUGAAGACUGAAAGUAUAUUAAUGAGUGAAGAUCCAGAUGGAAGAAUGUAGUCAGUGCAAUUAUUUUGCUUCAGCUAAUAUCCUGAAAUUGAUAGGACCUUUGGGCAGCAUGCAUCACCUAGAUAACACAAGUUAGAUAAAGAUGAUGUAACUAAAUUGCUGCCUCUCUCCUAGUAUUUAUGCCAUCAGACUUUCUUCUUUUGCCUCAUUUGCUGAGUGUAAGGAAUCUAAAAUCCUAUCUUCUCACGUACAUACAGUCCAGAUAUUGUUCAGCAUAAAGACAGUUUUUCUGGUAAUAUAGGAAUCUGAAACUAAUAUUUUCCUGCUUUUCCAGAAAUAAACCAGGGAAAUUUCUGUCUUCUAGAAAAUCAGAGAAAAUUAAUAUAGGAAUAAAUAUAACAAUACAAUAUGAAGAAUUUUGAUUUAUCCUAGUAAUGUGGAUUAAUUAAGCAUGUAAAAAUGAUAGAGAAAAAACCAUAUAGUUUUAAUAUGUGUACAAAAAGUAUUUGUUGAUAUACAAUAUGCAAUUAUAGAAAAUCUUCUCAGAAAACUAGAAGAAUAUUUAAAGAGGGUUGAAAUAAAACCAAACUUUGAACAAACAAAAAAAACUCUAAUAAUUUAAUAAACCCUGUUGUCUAUUAGAGGUCCUCAGUGGAAUAAAGCAAGGAAAAGAAGUAUAAAAUAAUGGAAGAGAGAGAAAUAAAACAUUUUUAUUUGUAAAUAAUAUAAUUAUGCAUAUAAAAACAAUGAUUUAUAAGCUAUUAGAGUAAAUAAUGUAUCAAGGUCAGUGGAUAAAAUCUUACCAUAUAAAAAUCAAUCAUAUUUUUAUGUAUUAUGUAUUCUGUUUGUAUUUGUAUGUAUUAUGUAUUAUCAUUGAACAAGUAGUGAUAAAAUUUUAAAUUUAAUAACACUUAUAAUGCCACACAAAAAUAUAAAAUAAUUAUCUAGUAAAAAUGUAGAAAACCUUCAUGUGCAAAAGUUUUGUGCAAUUUCCCCCUUUGUCUCCCUUUCCUAGGGAUCUCUAUAUCCAAUGACUGAUAAACAUUCCAGCACAGUAACCUUGUACACUUUCUCCAACAUGGUCCAUUUCAGUUUCAGAAGUUUACAGUCAAUUAUUUUAUUAAGAAUACAUCACUGAUCAAUUUCUCCCUUUGUCCAACUUUGCUUCUUUUCCUUCUGCCCAGGUAGGGUCCAGACACAUAUGUUCCAUAUUAAACCUGCAAGCUAACUUCUGUCAAGGGGUGUUUUGCAGAGAACCAAACCUGCAAAAAUAGGUAGCAAGAAUUAUCCAAGAAAACAGAUGCUAAGAUGUAAUUUGGGGCUUAAAUCACCAGCUGCCCACUAGCAAUGAGAAAUAAAUCACUGCUGUUAAAAAGAAAAGAUCACAAAGGCACAAACAUGGUAUAAUUGUUAAAAUCUUCACAAGUGGUGAAAACCUGGAAUGACAAACCAGUGGAGUCAAGAUUACUUUAGGAAAAUGUAUCAGAUAUUUGAGAAAUAUGGGUAGAAUAAAAACAAUAAGGAUAGUGGAAUUAGGCAUUUGUUGGCAAUCUCAAUUGACUCUUCAGAAAAAAUAACAGGGAAAUCUAAAAGUGAAUAAUCAAGGAAAAAAAGCUAAGUGUGAAUACUGAUAGGUAUUAAAUGGAAAGGUUCACAUUUCAUUCAAUUUGAAGGCAGAAAAAAUAGGGACUAGUCUUAGGACUUUGUAAUAAGACAGAGGGGACAGAAAUCCAAAGAAAGUUAAAAUUUUAAACUGGGAAAGCCUGUUUUGCCAGAAUCAGGGUCCUGAUUGAGAAAGCAUAAAAGGAAGACAUCUUUGGAUGAUAACUCCCCAAAUCUUGAUUCACAUAUUUUUCUGAGACCUCAGAAGUGACCCACUUCUCCCAAUUAAAAGCUAACACACUCUCUUUGAUUAAAAUAUGGUAUAGGUUUCCAGUUAUAAGUCAAAUUGCAUGAGCUUCAUUCACCCAUUCUCCUGUCCACAGGGCAAAUAAAAAGAUAACCUGGCUAAACACAUGAGUUGUCUCAUAAAAAAAGAGAUUUUGCACCUAUCUAUUAUGUCGCAGCAAGAUAGAGAGCAUACAUCUGAUGCGACUUUCUAAAUGUUAGACCAGGUUGGUGGGGAAAGUGACACAAAAUUGAAUAAGGGAAUUUUACUAAUCUAGGACCACUUUCUUGGAAUAGUGAAUUUAGUAACCCAAAAAGGACUUUAAUAAAUGGUGCAAACACUCUGACAGGAAGCUUUCAAAAAAUGUAGAGAAAUAAAUGGCCCACACCAAAUUAAGAAGAAGUACCACAUUUGCUUUGGCAGGAAAAAAGAGAAUAAAAAUUUCAAAGAUGUGGGAAUAUUAGAGUGGGUACUAUCAUAAAAUAAUAGUUUUCUUCAGCCAAUCAAAGGACAAUAUUCCUUAGGAAGCAAUAAUAUGUAUGCUGGUAAGAGGGUCACAAUAUCCUUAAGAAGCUCACCAGUGAUUCCUUUGAUUGUCAGUGAUGGUAACAAUCGAAGUAAUUACAUAACUGAGUUAAUUGAUAGCAAAGUUGUUGAUAGUUCACUGAAACUGUAGAGUGCAAAUCAUUGUUCAUCUAGUCUAUGACAUCACAUUAAUAAGGCUGUACUAAUAAGAUUUUCAUUUUAUUCAGCAGAAACAUUGUUUUCCUCAUUAUAGAUAUUGUAUAUAUUUUAUUACAUUUAAUUAAUAUCUAUUUUUUUGGUUUGAGGAUGCUCAAAUAAAUGAUGUUGUGCUCAGUUUCAAAUUGCACUCUUCUACUUGUUCAUUACUGAUAUAUUGGAAAGGAAUUAACUUUUGUAUAUUAACCUUGUGUUGUGCAAUUUUAAUACUGUUGCUUAUGUGUUCCAUGAGUUAUUUUGUAUUUGUUUGUUUCCUUUUCUUGAUUCUCUUUGUAUUUUGUAUGUAAACAAUUAGGUGAUCUGCAAACAUUUUCAUUUAUUCCUUCCCAAUAAAUAUAUCUUUUAUUUAUUUUUCUUGUCUUAUUGUAUUAUCUAGUAUUUGCAGUAUAAUGUUGCAAAGGAAUAAUUAGAAGGAACAUCUUUG
rnacentral:lncRNA from 1 species